CUAUUGACGUUUGUUUGUUGAUUUUGAAACCAGUUGAUAAUUUGCAAGUGAUGUGGAUGCUGAAAUUUUUAUUUCACUUCUUCAACAACUACCAGUGCUGUGGAACUAAUUCUGUGAUGCAAAUUUCUGCUCAAAGAGAAGCAAUGGUCACAGGUGCACGAUGUCAUCAUUGAGCAUAUUGCCACGGACGGUGUUAUUAACGGCAACAUUCCUUAUUUGAAAUUAUUACUGAACGAGAUCGGGGAGGUCAAACAAAUCUCCAACUGGUUCAUCGAGGGGCGGAUUUUGAGCGACUUAAUCGAGCUGAAUGAGAAGUUUGACCUGACCCGGGACACGAUUGACGACGAAACCGAGGCACUCAAGCCCAAACUGUCCUAUAUGUGCUCUGUGGUCAAAAUGUUCCCAUGCCCGACGCCAAAGCAUCGGUUCUGUCAGAACGAAAUUCCAGCUUAUCUGAUUCAGUCAUUCUUUGCUCCGGAUCCGCGUAUUUAUAGCUGUGAUGUGAAUUGGGCUCGAGAAGCUGCCAUUGCCCCAGGAUUACGUGCUCGAGGAAUUGCGGCAUAUGUUGAGCGCGUUCUUGGACGAGGAUCAGCGGAAGCAGCAAUGGAAUAGUGUUUGAACGAAUUAUGUUAUUUUAAUCGUUAAAUUUUUUUCUGUAAUAAUGAAAUAAAAAACACUCUAAAAUGAA